rnacentral:lncRNA from 1 species
GCCAGGGAGGAGCCAAGUACAUAGUCUAUCUAGCCGUUGAUUUUUUUUUAGCAUUUUAGACUUUCACCCGUUUGGUUUUUUGUUUUCUAAUUAAGUCCAUACUUCUAAGGGCUGAUUGAUCCUUCCGAUUCACACCCAAAUGCUCAUCCACUCGGCCUCCCACCCAACUGAUCAAUUGAUACAGUCUCCAGUUACGCACCGGCCGCCAUUGAUCAAUGUAUUGGUCAACUCUACAAAGAAGAGGAAUGACAUUAAACUAUCAAAUGCUCAAAUCUUCCAUUGAUCAUGGAAUGGAAGCAUGAAGGAUUGGACACACUGCAACAAACAUGUCGAUCGACUGAAUACGGGAGGAGUUUGAGCUUGUCCAGCGCCUUGCUAUUAUGCUGCUGCAUGCGGAUCUUUGGAUUCAUUGCCCCC